GACGAACGCUGGCGGCGUGCUUAACACAUGCAAGUCGAACGGAGUGGCGCACGGGUGAGUAACGCGUAAUCAACCUGCCCUUCAGAGGGGAACAACAGUUAGAAACGACUGCUAAUACCGCAUACGGAAGGAGGGGAUUGCGUCGGAUUGGCUAGUUGGGGGGGUAACGGCCCACCAAGGCGAUGAUCAGUAGCCGGUUUGAGAGGAUGAUCGUCCAAAUUGGGACUGAGAACCGGCCCAGACUCCUACGGGAGGCAGCAGUGGGGAAUCUUCCGCAAUGGACGAAAGUCUGACGGAGCAACGCCGCGUGAGUGAUGACGGCCUUCUGGUUGUAAAGCUCUGUUAAUCGGGACGCGUUACCGGAAUAGAAAGCCACGGCUAACUACGUGCCAGCAGCCGCGGUAAUUC
rnacentral:rRNA from 1 species